UUCUUUAACAGGCUAGCAGUUUCUGCAAGAAGGUGUGUUCAAGAGCUGUGAGAAAGACGCGCGACAAGGAUUCAGGUUGAGAGAAGCUCUCUCUGCGACAAGCUUUAUCUCAUGCCGAGACUCAAGCAUCUUCUUCCACAUCAUCUCCAAUUCUCACUCUGUUUUUUUGCAGCAGAGACAAGGUUUGUGCCCCAAUAUUCCAAAAGUGGUACAUUUCUUAGGAUUUAUUAUCCUAAUUUUACUUAAUUCUUCAGUAGUUGCAAGGAUUUUAAUUCAACAAUUUCAUGACCACUCAAGUUUAGGGUUCUCUGAUUUCGAUUCUAGUAUGAUUAUUUUUCUUGUGAAUAUGAUUUGUUUUUUAUUCUUUGCAUUUAAGUCAACUUGUGUGCUUGGUUAAGAAAUAUUGGGGUUGAUGUACAUAAAGCAGGAAGUGAUGCAAGGGAAUUUUUAAGUGCCCACCAUGUGUUCGAUAAAUUGUCAAUAUGAGUUCAAGUGUAAUUAAACGAAAUGAAAUAACAAUUUGUGCUUUGUGUGCAUGUGUGAAUGCCUUUUAUUGCUAAAAUUUUCUGUUAACAUCAUGGUAGCUUUGCAUUUAGGGCUACUUUACAAGCCUGUGAUGUUGCUAUUGAAUUUGAAAGCAUUGAAAAGCUAAAUGUAGUAGAGCUGAAAUUCCAAGAUAUCAUCAAUCCUCUCUCACUUGAUGCUUCCACGGGAAGAUUGACAACAUGGAUAAAAAAUGGAACUUGAUUCAACACUAGGAUUGAUGAUCCCCAAUGCUCAACUGCUAAGGAGUUAAAAAUGAUGAAAGAUUAGGUGAAUUGAUGGUAACCUUAGCCCCUUCCUUUCUAUGUGUUUUUGUUAUUUAGUUUAAUGAAUAUGAAGGCUAAGAAAUAUUAGAUGAUCAUUACAACUUUCAAAUAGUUUCUUGGAGCAAUUUAAUUCAAAAUCACUAUUACUUAUUGUCAUCAUUAUUCAUGUCUAAUGUACUAAUCGAAGGAAAUUGCAAGGAGCUGCUACAACACUUUCAGAUGCUACGCUUACGAAGUCUCCCAAUAUGGCUUACCUCCCUGGGGGAAUCAACUUGCUUAUGGCUCUUAAUGCUCGCUAUUGAUUGAUGUUCUGAUUCCGGGACUAGAAAGUGUUGGUUGAUUAUAGUUCAAUUAUCAGCUGCUAUAAUGAGAAGACCAAAGAAGAAGAUCUGAAAGCAAUGCAAGUGGAUACGACAGUUUUGGGCCUUUCACAAGAAGAGGCUGAAAAUAAACCAUCAUACAUUGCUUCCAUGGGAGUGUACAUAUUCAAAAUGUAUUAGAAAGAAAGAUAAGGGAUUCAGGUUUCAUCCAACCAAUGAAGAGCUCAUAAGUACUACCUCCAACAGAAGGUUCUUGACAGCUAUUUCUAUGCUAUAGCCAUUGCGGAUGCUGAUUUGCACAAGUGUGAACCAUGGCCAGUUAGAUAGAGCUGCUCAUAGAAUGGGUACAAAUAUCAUUCGUAUUCAGGAACACAUACUAAACCUGGGAUGCUUCUGGCAGUGCUUUCUACUUAUUUUAGGUAUCAAUUAGAUAACAUCUAAUGUCUGACGACCUUUGUUAAUUUUAUCACUUUCAAGGCUUUUUGUGCAUGUUGCAGCUCAAUUAUAUAUAUAUAUAUAUAUUGAUUAGUUUUGUUUUGUGAAUUGGAACUGUCACAUGUGUUUUGACAAUUGAUAUAGUGCUUAAUAGU